UGACUGUUUAAUCUCUGCAGGCAACUGUGAUGGUGAUUUUUAUUCUCACAAUCACCUGGAGAGAUUCUGCAGUUU
ncrna:Tetraodon nigroviridis (spotted green pufferfish) microRNA tni-mir-216b precursor